UACGUUCGUAUCACGUUGAAACCCCGGUCCCGUACGAUCACCGAAGUUAAGCAACGUCGAGCCUUGUCAGUACCUAGAUGGGGGACCUCUUGGGACUACCAGGUGCU